rnacentral:rRNA from 1 species
UGGGGAAUAUUGCACAAUGGGCGAAAGCCUGAUGCAGCAACGCCGCGUGAGCGAUGAAGGCCUUCGGGUCGUAAAGCUCUGUCCUCAAGGAAGAUAAUGACGGUACUUGAGGAGGAAGCCCCGGCUAACUACGUGCCAGCAGCCGCGGUAAUACGUAGGUGGCAAGCGUUGUCCGGAUUUACUGGGUGUAAAGGGUGCGCAGGCGGGACUGCAAGUUGGAUGUGAAAUACCGAGGCUCAACCUCGGAGCUGCAUCCAAAACUGUAGUUCUUGAGUGAAGUAGAGGUAAGCGGAAUUCCGAGUGUAGCGGUGAAAUGCGUAGAUAUUCGGAGGAACACCAGUGGCGAAGGCGGCUUACUGGGCUUUAACUGACGCUGAGGCACGAAAGCAUGGGUAGCAAACAGG